CCUACGGGUGGCUGCAGUGGGGAAUAUUGCGCAAUGGGCGAAAGCCUGACGCAGCGACGCCGCGUGAGGGAUGAAGGUCUUCGGAUCGUAAACCUCUGUUAGCAGGGAAGAACGGUCACUGUGCUAAUCAGCAGUGAAUUGACGGUACCUGCAAAGGAAGCACCGGCUAACUCCGUGCCAGCAGCCGCGGUAAUACGGAGGGUGCGAGCGUUAAUCGGAAUUACGGGGCGUAAAGCGCGCGUAGGCGGUAUGUCAAGUCACGGGGGAAAUCCCCGCGCUCAACGUGGGAACUGCCUUUGAUACUGGCAGACUGGAGUGUGUGAGAGGGUAGUGGAAUUCCAGGUGGAGAAGUGAAAUCCGUAGAUAUCUGGAGGAACAUCAGUGGCGAAGGCGACUAUCUGGCACAUAACUGACGCUGAGGAGCGAAAGCGUGGGUAGCAAACAGGAUUAGAUACCCGUGUAGUC
rnacentral:rRNA from 1 species